UAGUCCCUGCAAUGGUAGCCUUGCGUGACUAUAAAGAGCCAUCAAUAUUAUCAUAGGGAACCCGACUCUGAGCGCGUAUUACAUGCCUCCUUUGAGUGGACGUAAAAAACGUUCAGGAGGGUACCCACCGUGUCCAUACACGGUUCUUUAUAGACGGGGUUGCAUUGCAGGGUUUUU
rnacentral:other from 1 species